UGACCGGUCUAUAACACCUCCUCCAUAUUUCAGUAAUGAACCUGGACCCUCAGACACAAAAGUUCAGGACAACAGACAGAGAGCAGAGUCUGUAGUAUCUGGCUGUCUGUCUAUGAAGAGUGACCGGUCUAUAACACCUCCUCCAGACUUCAGUAAUGAACCUGGACCCUCAGACACAAAAAAGAGGAAGAGGAGUGAUGUUUCUGAGGAGGAGCAGCCGUCCAGAUCCAGA